rnacentral:lncRNA from 1 species
AGAGCUAUGGCUGUUUUCUGUGACUGUCACAGGAUACUAGCAUAAGGCUCUGGCUGUUCUUUUCAUAUCAACAGAACAGAUUUUAUUCGGGCGAUCUGAAGACUGAAAUCCCAAUAUUUUAAGCUAUAGGAAACACUGCUUCACUUUUGAGAGAUGGAAAGGGUAUUUCAAUUCAAAUACAAGUGAUACAGGGGAUUUUUAAACACUGACCAGGUACCAUGAAUUUUAAACACUGACCAGGUACCAUGAUUUUUAAACACUGACCGGGUACCAUGAUUUUUAAACACUGACCAGGUACCAUGAAUUUCUUCCAUGAGACCACGCCAUGCCUGCUAUGGGCAGUCAGACGGGGCAUUUUCCCAGACAAGAGAGGAAAUCUCAGCAAAGCCUAACGUGCUCAGGUUUUCACAUUUUCAGGAUUACUCUAGAGAAACAGAAGGCUCUCAGGCUAUGACAUUUUAAAAGCUUUUAGACUUUCUUUUAGCUGGUCUGUGACUGAACUGUAGGCUUAAUUUCUCAGCUUAGGAAAACACUUAUCCCUGGCUGCGCAUGCUGGCUUUGUUCGAGGCCAUGCAGAACUCUGUGGCUAUGGUAG